rfam:Jatropha curcas cultivar GZQX0401 scaffold96_35, whole genome shotgun sequence.
UGCAAUGACGAUUAGAUUAUAAUCUCGUUAAUCUGAUAAUCAGUAUGAGGACAAAUCCUCUAUUCCAUUCUUAAACAGUCUGAGC